AUAGGCAGUUCAGCUGUUUACUGUGUGGGAGAGGGAGGACCUACCCAACUAGGACUGUCUGGAAGCCCAGUAAAAUCCUGGGAAGGCUCCUAGUUCAGUCUGUUACUCUGCUCUCAGAAACUCAUGGCUUCAUGACUCACCCAGAGCCCUGGGCGGUCCUAAGCCUUGACCCUUCUGUCAAUGGCCCCCCAUCUAGCCAUUUAGACUUUCUCUUUCAGAACUCCUCACCAAGUCAAGGCUUUCGGAUUCACUGAUAGAAGGCUCAUCUCCACAUCUGCUCUCAUUUGUUGCUUCUGUGAUUAGUGACAGGAGCCGCAGCCCCUCAUAAAUGACCCAUUUGAUCCACAGCACAGGAAGGGGAAGAAGAGAAUUCAACUGACGAGCAGAAGAUGAAGUAAUUGUUGAAUGUCCUGUUCUGCACCAGCACAGCAGAGCAUACAGAAAUACAGGGCACUGUCCUGAUCUUCCAGAAACUGCCAGAUUUCUGUGACAAACGCAGAAUUCAGAAGUCGGCUGGAGGGAGCAGUGUAUUCCCAGACUGGAGAAAAGAACAAGGAAAGGGGAAUUCCUGCCAAUCAAGCAAGCUUUUCAAGGUGUUUUUUUCCUGGCCCUGGCAAAAGUAUGUACAGAAAGGACGAUACCCUUAUUUCCUCAGGGUAACCCAAUCUAGUAAGAAAAUUCAAGAAAAAUUAAACUGCGUGAUUCCAGCGUUGCAUCGGUCUGAAGUCACGGGACUUGCUAACACAAUUACGCACUUGAAGAUGAGAGAGAGAGUGUCCUGACUGUAAAGCACCUUGUUUACUACGGCGUCUUCUGCUCGGCACUCAGCACACUUUGCCCCUGGAGAAUGCCUUCAUUACCAGCGCAUGGCGGCCACUUGCCAGCACAGGGAGCUCGCCCCCGCGGCCUGGCUGCUAAUAAAGAAAGCACUUCAUUUACACCAGGGGAGUCUCUCCAGUCAAGUCCAUAAUAAAAGGGCAAGUCAUAGUUAGAACAGAAUUUGGUUUAUACUAUAGCAACUAUGUAAACUCUUACUGACACCGAGGAACACAGAUGACUCUUAACUGGGAAGACAGUUUGCCCAGAGAAAGAGCAAAUAGUGUCCCUUGACCUACUCCUUUAGUAGCAAAAUCAUAUUAAGGCUAUAUGGAAGACUGAACCUAGCAUGAAAUCGGCACAGUCAGCUUGUCUAAACAGGCAAAAGUCAAACCAAGAAUACAGAAUGCAAAAACAAAAUAAAACAAAACAAAACAACAACAACAAAACCCCCCCAAAAUGAACAAAACCUGCCAAUGAUCAAUGUAGUCAUUAACUCCAAAGAGCCACCCUUGUUCUUAAAACUUUGCACUAAUUAAAGGCUCAGGAAUAUUAGUUCUUCCCCUCCAAGAGAUAUCUAAGUUUAGACUUUGCGAAGAGUCAAAACACUUGUUUUUGAAAACCUUAUUAUUGGGGCACCAGGGUGGCUCAGUCAGUUAAGCACCUGCCUUCGGCUCAGGUCAUAAUCUCAGGUCC